GAAAGAUGCAUGCAAACUCCUCGACAAGCAGCUCUGGCCCUGAGCGAAAUGAUCUCAGUCGGACCCCGCACCGAGUCAGAAUCCGCCGCCUGCCUCCUGCCGCCGUGGGUCUCCUCCACUGCACUCCUCCACCCGCAAAAUGAGCCAGAGCACUUAUGUUCCAGCUUCCAGUUCUCCUUCUCACUCCUGGGGCCCGUGACAGACUUCAGACCGUGGAUCAUCCCAAGAGCAGUGUGUGCGUGGAAGGAUUCAGGAAGGGAAAUUGCUUAUGAGGCGCUAGAAGGUCACGGCCACGCCAAGGCCCCAGGACAGAAGAGGAAACCCACUAUGGAGUGAAGGGCUCGCACUCCAGCUGGUGGAGUAUCUGCGGGCGCCCAGACGCAGGCCGGCCUGGGGCUCAGCCGGCACACCCCCAGGCAGCAGAGAAGGUGACGCUGGGCCUUCAGUGACAGGACCAGAUGUUCUUCCAAGGGAGAUCCCGACGGGUUCUGGAUCAAAGUCCUGCAGGCCUUGCCUACUUCUUCCGAAGACAGGACUCCGGGCAGAGGUGCUGCUUCAAGUCCAUGCCCAUGGCCACCGUGUAUGUGCCCGCCGCGUCUCACUAGGUUACCCGCAGAGCCGAGCGUGCCCAUUUUACAAGGAAGGAGAUGGAGGAGGCCAGCGUGGCAGGAGAAAGGCUGGUCACUGAGUCAUGGGGCCACCCAGGUGAGGGGUCAGCAUGGGCCGGGGUCCUGCAUGGCAUCCUCGCAGGAGGCGACUGCUGGCU
ensembl:lincRNA